GCCGGAUUAGCUCAGCUGGUAGAGCACUCGCCUUGUAAGCGAAAGGUCGUCGGUCCGAUUCCGACAUCCGGCUCCA
rnacentral:tRNA from 1 species